rnacentral:rRNA from 1 species
AGAGUUUGAUCCUGGCUCAGGACGAACGCUGGCGGCGUGGAUUAGGCAUGCAAGUCGCGCGACGGACCUUCGGGUUACGGAGCGGCGAACGGGUGAGUAACACGUGAACAAUCUGUCCCUACAUUCCGGAUAAUUGGCCGAAAGGCCUUGUAAUACGGGCGAGGAUGGUGGUGAGGCAUCUCACUAUCAGGGAAGGUGGAGGAGUAAUCCUUUGCCGUGCAGGGAGGGGUUCGCGGCCUAUCAGUUAGUUGGUGGGGUAACGGCCUACCAAGACGACGACGGGUAGCUGGUCUGAGAGGAUGGUCAGCCACAUUGGAACUGAGACACUGUCCAGACUCCUACGGGAGGCUGCAGUCGAGAAUCUUGGGCAAUGCACGAAAGUGUGACCCAGCGACGCCGCGUGGAGGAUGAAGGCCCUUGGGUUGUAAACUCCUUUUAGGGGAGAAGAACGUCCCUUCGGGGACUUGACGGUACCCCCUGAAUAAGCCACGGCUAACUACGUGCCAGCAGCCGCGGUAAUACGUAGGUGGCAAGCGUUGUCCGGAUUUACUGGGCGUAAAGCGUGUGUAGGCGGACCUUUAAGUAGAAAGUGAAAGGUAGGAGCUCAACUCCUACAUUGCUUUCUAUACUGGAGGUCUUGAGUGUCGGAGAGGAAGAUGGAACUGCACGUGUAGCGGUGAAAUGCGUUGAGAUGUGCAGGAACACCAAUGGCGAAGGCAAUCUUCUGGACGAAAACUGACGCUGAGACACGAAAGCCAAGGUAGCAAACAGGAUUAGAUACCCUGGUAGUCUUGGCCCUAAACUAUGUUCACUAGGUGUCGGGGGUUUCCCUCGGUGCCGCAGCUAACGCAUUAAGG